GGUCCCAUGGUGUAAGGGGUAGCACUCUAUACUUUGAUUUCUGUAGUCUGGGUUCAAAUUUCAGUGGGGCCU
rnacentral:tRNA from 1 species